rnacentral:tRNA from 1 species
UCCCUUGUGGCUCAGAUGGUAAAGAAUCCACCUGCGAUGUGGAAGACCAGGGUUCAAUCCCUGAUUUGGGAA